rnacentral:rRNA from 1 species
GUAGGUGGCAAGCGUUGUCCGGAAUUAUUGGGCGUAAAGCGCGCGCAGGCGGUCCUUUUAAGUCUGAUGUGAAAGCCCACGGGCUCAACCGUGGAGGGUCAUUGGAAACUGGGGGACUUGAGUACAGAAGAGGAAAGCGGAAUUCCAAGUGUAGCGGUGAAAUGCGUAGAGAUUUGGAGGAACACCAGUGGCGAAGGCGGCUUUCUGGUCUGUAACUGACGCUGAGGCGCGAAAGCGUGGGGAGCAAACAGGAUUAGAUACCCUGGUAGUCCACGCCGUAAACGAUGAGUGCUAAGUGUUAGAGGGUUUCCGCCCCUUAGUGCUGCAGCUAACGCAUUAAGCACUCCGCCUGGGGAGUACGGCCGCAAAGGCUG